UCCCUCUCAGGGUUGCAACUGGGGAGUUUCCAGUAUUCUACCAGUUUCAGCUACAGGAGGGAGAGUCAAGCAGAGGUCUACCCAUUCCAUUCCUAGCUCGGGCAGCGGCUAGCGAGUGGAAGGCAAUCUACUGCAAGU